rnacentral:rRNA from 1 species
AUACGGAGGGUGCAAGCGUUAUUCGGAAUCACUGGGCGUAAAGGACGCGUAGGCGGGUUGGCAAGUCAGAUGUGAAAUCCUACAGCUUAACUGUAGAACUGCAUUUGAAACUGCUAACCUAGAGUAUGGGAGGGGGAGAUGGAAUUAGUGGUGUAGGGGUAAAAUCCGUCGAUAUCACUAGGAAUACCGAAAGCGAAUGCGAUCUCCUGGAACAUAACUGACGCUAAGGCGUGAAAGCGUGGGGAGCAAACAGGAUUAGAUACCCUAGUAGUCC